ACCUGGUUGAUCCUGCCAGUAGUCAUAUGCUUGUCUCAAAGAUUAAGCCAUGCAUGUCUAAGUACACGCCCUAGCAAGGCGAAACCGCGAAGGCUCAUUAAAUCAGUUAUGGUUCCUUAGAUCGUACACAUUUACUUGGAUAACUGUGGUAAUUCUAGAGCUAAUACAUGCAAUUGAGCCCUCGUCCCUUUUAGGGUGAGGGUGCUUUUAUUAGACCAAGACCAAACGGGGGCAACUCCGAUAGUCGUGGUGACUCUGAAUAACUAUGGCGGAUCGCACAGUCCUAGCACUGGCGACGCAUCUUUCAAGUGUCUGCCUUAUCAACUUUCGAUGGUAGGUUAUGCGCCUACCAUGGUUGUUACGGGUAACGGGGAAUCAGGGUUCGAUUCCGGAGAGGGAGCCUGAGAAACGGCUACCACAUCCAAGGAAGGCAGCAGGCGCGCAAAUUACCCACUCCCGGCACGGGGAGGUAGUGACGAAAAAUAACAAUACGGGACUCUAACGAGGCUCCGUAAUUGGAAUGAGUACACUCUAAACCUUUUAACGAGGAUCUAUUGGAGGGCAAGUCUAGUGCCAGCAGCCGCGGUAACUCUAGCUCUCUCUCUCUCUCUCAGGUCAUGAAAAUUCAGGAGGAUAUACGUUUGCUAUCAAAAGUAUAUAGGAAAACAUUAGUUAUAUGAAAGGACCCGUUUAAUCUAUAGAUCGUAUUAAGUAAGCAUAAAGCUUGGAAUUGAAAAGAGACAUCACUAUCAAAGUAACAUGGAAGCGAGACUUUAGGAUGUUAAUUGGGGAAAUUCUAUGAAGGAUUAGGAACGUUCGAAUUGCUUGAAUUAAAUUAUUCUUAUGCGAACUCUCUCUCUCUCUCUACCAGUUCGAUAUUAAUUGCAUGUGACGUGGACUAAGGCUUUGUACGUGUAUUGCUAUGCCUAGAACUUCAUUACUUUUCCAGAAAUCCUAUAGUGACAUAUACAUAGACACACAAACCCAUGACAUCAGUAUAUUGCGUUACUACGUCAGCUUCAGGUGUUAUUUGACCAUUUCGUAUGCAAGAACCAUUGCCCCAACCCACCAGAAUCCUAACCCAGGGGUCGGCAAACUGCGACUCGCGAGCCACAUACGGCUCUUUGGAUGUGAAGCUGCGGCUCUUUAUAUAUUUCUAUACGUGAAUACUUAUUCAUGCGAGAAUAUACUAUUUAUUGUUUGUAAUAAAAACAUUUUGUGGCUUUUUAAAAUAAAUUGAUAUUUUGUAAAUUGAAAUUUUUGACUCUUCCGACUUGAAAGAUUGCCGAACUCUGUCCUAACCUAGGCGGCCAGGUAUAGCCGUCUGCAAAAAGAUUUGCUAUCUCCCAAGAAUCGACGUUUUGUUGACCGGAAAUCCGGAACGUGCGACAAUCUGGCUGAAGACAAUGGCAAAUACAAUCGCCGACCUCGGCCUCAAGUCCCAAUGUCAAUAUCUCGUGUGAUACCAGAACCGCUAAGUACGUAUAUUUUCCCUCUUUAAAAUAUAUUUUAUAAUAUAUUCUAGUUUGAUUUAUAUUUACCUAUCAUCCUACUUCGCUUCACAGAGAAAAUAAACAUAUAUACAUAACACUAUAUUAAUAUAAAGCAAUAACGCGCCAUCGAUAUAUUGCAAAUAUAAAACAUUUAGACCUGAAUGUUUCUUUUACACAUAUAUCAAACUAUUACUGUCUUUACUGCGAUGAAUAAUUGACCUUAUCCUUAUUGUUUGAGAAGAUCAUUGCUCGAUGCAAAUAUUAUCUGUAUUUCUACUGUUCUCUAAAAGCUUAUGUCCAUUGUUUGCUUGAAUACCAUUUCUGAGAUUCCACCCUUCAGUGUAGCAUAUAUAAGCAGAAUGAUCCAGUAUUAGAGCUCUAAAGAAGCGGUCUGGUAGAUUAAAUUGGGGAAACUGCUGGGAGGGUUCACCACUGAUGUGCCAAGCCCUCCCAAUAUAUAUACAGGGUGUACCAGGUAAAUUGGGACUAACUUUGACAGUCCAUAAAACAAAACUACUUGAGAUUAAAAACUUGUUUAUUUUUUCAUUACGUAGCCAUAUUCAUGUAAAAUGCAACAGUACAUGUGUGCGCAGUGUAGUGAUGAAGAGUAACCGAGAAUUUGAAAAUCGAGCUGCCAUCAUCGUUGCUCUGCGCGCCGGAAGGAGCCCCAAAGAGAUAGUGGAUUUUCUUAAGUUGCCCAAAACCACUAUUUAUCGUGUCAAGAAGCAGUUUGAUGAGGCCGACAGUAACAAAGAGGGGAUAGCUACAAGGAAAAAGCACUCGCGUCGAUCGGACAGGGUAAGA
rnacentral:rRNA from 1 species